GACGAACGCUGGCGGCGUGCUUAACACAUGCAAGUCGAACGAGAAUUUUUUAAUAGACUUCUUCGGAAUGAAAUUAAAAAAGGAAAGUAGCGAACGGGUGAGUAACACGUGAGAAACCUGCCUUUCACAAAGGGAUAGCCUCGGGAAACCGGGAUUAAUACCUUAUGACACGGAGAUAUCGCAUGAUAAUUUCGUUAAAGAAUUUCGGUGAAAGAUGGUCUCGCGUCUGGUUAGCUAGUUGGUAAGGUAACGGCUUACCAAGGCGACGAUCAGUAGCCGGAUUGAGAGGUUGAACGGCCACACUGGAACUGAGACACGGUCCAG
rnacentral:rRNA from 1 species